UGCAGCUUAUCAUUAAAUACUGAUGAAAUCCAUCUUGUUGUAUUUCAUAAGGGCAUUGCUGGUGCACAAGGUCCUCUUGGACCUCCUGGUCCCCCUGGACUUCCAGGUGCUCUAGGACAGAAAGGAUCUAAGGGAUCAGUCGGCUCAACUGGUCAGAAAGGAGACCCUGGACUCAUUGGACCACCCGGACCACCUGUAAUUAUACAUUUAUCUUGUUCCAUAUAAUAUAAAAGGGUUUAAGUUUCAAAGAU